UUGUCCGGAAUUACUGGGUGUAAAGGGAGCGUAGGCGGGACGGUAAGUCAGGUGUGAAAUAUACGUGCUCAACAUGUAGACUGCACUUGAAACUGCUGUUCUUGAGUGAAGUAGAGGUAAGCGGAAUUCCUAGUGUAGCGGUGAAAUGCGUAGAUAUUAGGAGGAACAUCGGUGGCGAAGGCGGCUUACUGGGCUUUUACUGACGCUGAGGCUCGAAAGCGUGGGGAGCAAACAGGAUUAGAUACCCUGGUAGUCCACGCUGUAAACGAUGAUUACUAGGUGUGGGGGGACUGACCCCUUCCGUGCCGCAGUUAACACAGUAAGUAAUCCACCUGGGGAGUACGACCGCAAGGUUGAAACU
rnacentral:rRNA from 1 species